AAAUACCUUUUUUCUCGUUUUUUUUAAACUCAAAAAACAUUAGGGUUUAGUUUUCCCCUUUUCUGUUUACCCUCAAACCCAAACACGAACAGAACACACACUAAACACAGCGGCCGCUCCAGAUCAGUCCUACCACUCAUCCAAUCGUCACAAAAGCACUUGCCAGAGCCACUCCAGCCUCAACGGCUCAGUCACGUAGCCCCUCCGGCCUUCCCUCAGUCCCUCACUUACUCACUCUCUUCGGCCCUUCACUCCUCCAGUGUUAGUGAGUUCGAAGUUUUGGAUGGAGACGGUGCGGAUGCGGAGGUGAGGGUUAUCGACGCGGAGAAAUACGGAUGCGAAGAUCAGGAAGAUGGUGCUGAUGAAGACGAUGGUGGCCAGUAUGUAUACGAGAGACUUGUUGGUUUUUUGGUGCUUUGGUUUGGUGAAUGGUGUGAUGGUUGUGUAGGGUUGUCCGUCGCUCUUUACGCCGGCUGGUGCGAUCGGGAUCAUUUGGUUCUCUGCGUCGGCCAUGUGUGUGUGUGUAUAUGAGAAGAAGAUGAUGAGGAAUGCCGGCAUUAAAUGGAUUUCAUAUGAUAUACCACUAUGUAAAGUUUCAUAUUAACCCUUUUGUUUUAAUAAUGUGUGUAUAAGACUUUAAUGAUGUGUCCACUAUGUGUUUUUAUGUAACAUGAACCGAAAUCUUAUCGUGUAUG
rnacentral:lncRNA from 1 species